rnacentral:rRNA from 1 species
UACGUAGGUGACAAGCGUUGUCCGGAUUUACUGGGCGUAAAGAGCGCGCAGGCGGUCGAUCAAGUCGAGUGUGAAAGCCCCCGGCUCAACUGGGGAGGGUCAUUCGAUACUGAUCGACUCGAAGGCAGGAGAGGGUAGUGGAAUUCCCGGUGUAGUGGUGAAAUGCGUAGAUAUCGGGAGGAACACCAGUGGCGAAGGCGGCUCACUGGACCGGAACUGACGCUGAGGCACGAAAGCGUGGGGAGCAAACAGG